AGAGAUAGUGGACGUUACUCGCAGAAUAAGCCGGCGGMUAACUCUGCAGCAGCAGCCGCGGUAAUACAGAGGGCUGCAAGCGUUAAUCGGAUUUACUGGGCGUAAAGCGCGCGUAGGCGGCUAAUUUAGUCAAAUGUGAUAUCCCCGUGAUUUACUUGUGAAUUGCAUUCGAUACCGGUUAGCUAGAGUGUGGGAGAGGAUGGUAGAAUUCCAGGUGUAGCGGUGAAAUGCGUAGUCAUCUGGAGGAAUACCGAUGGCGAAGGCAGCCAUCUGGCCUAACACUGACGCUGAGGUGCGAAAGCAUGAGGAGCAAACAGGAUUUGAUACCCUGGUAGUCCAUGCCGUAAACGAUCUCUACUAGCGGGGGGCGCUUCUGAGGCUUUAGUGGCGCAGCUAACCAGAUAAGUAGCCCGCCUGGGGAGUACGGUCGCAAGACUAAAAUUCAAAUGAAUUGACGGGGGCCCGCACAAGCGGUGGAGCAUGUGGUUUAAUUCGAUGCAACGCGAAGAACCUUACAUGGCCUUGACAUAGUAAGAACUUUCCAGAGAUGGAUUGGUGCCUUCGGGAACUUACAUACAGGUGCUGCAUGGCKGUCGUCAGCUCGUGUCGUGAGAUGUUGGGUUAAGUCCCGCAACGAGCGCAACCCUUUUCCUUAUUUGCCAGCGAGUAAUGUCGGGAACUUUAAGGAUACUGCCAGUGACAAUCUGGAGGAAGGCGGGGACGACGUCAAGUCAUCAUCCCCUUACGGCCAGGGCU
rnacentral:rRNA from 1 species